AACGCAACUUGCGCUCCUUGGUAUUCCGAGGAGCAUGCCUGUUUGAGUGUCAUUAAAUUCUCAACCUUUAUCAGCUUUGCUGUUAUAGGCUUGGAUGUGGAGGUUUUUGCAGGCCUUUAAAGGUCAGCUCCUCUGAAAUACAUUAGUGGUGUCCCCUUCAUGGUUAAAUGACUAUUGGUGUGAUAAACUAUCUACGCUUAUGGGCAACUGUGUUCACUUGAAUGUGAAAAGGGAUUUGGCUGCUUCUAACGGUCUGAAAGGACAAUAAUAAAUGACUAUUUGACCUCAAAUCAGGUAGGACUACCCGCUGAACUUAA
rnacentral:misc_RNA from 1 species